rnacentral:rRNA from 1 species
AGGACAAACGCUGGCGGCGUACUUAAGACAUGCAAGUCGAACGGGCGCUUCACCUUCGGGUGGGUGUGCUAGUGGCGGACGGGUGAGUAACGCGUAGGAACCUGUCAUCAAGAGGGGGAUAACGCUGGGAAACCGGCGCUAAUACCGCAUGUGGUCAUGAAAAUGAAGAAAGCAGCAAUGCGCUUGAUGAGGGGCCUGCGUCCGAUUAGCUUGUUGGUGGGGUAAAGGCCUACCAAGGCAUCGAUCGGUAGCUGGUCUGAGAGGAUGGUCAGCCACACUGGGACUGAGACACGGCCCAGACUCCUACGGGAGGCAGCAGUUAGGAAAUUUUCCCAAUGGGCGCAAGCCUGAGGGAGUAACGCCGCGUGGAGGAUGACGGCUUUCGGGUUGUAAACUCCUUUUCUGUGGGAAGAGUAGAAGACGGUACCGCAGGAUAAGCCUCGGCUAACUACGUGCCAGCAGCCGC